GGCUGUCCCUCAUUUAUCAUUUCAGAAGCUGAAAACCCUAAAAUUCUCCAGAUUCACGCUUUGUAUUGUGUGCAUUUCCAACGUUGUGAAUCUUGUGAUAUCGAAAUCUCAUCAAUGGCGAUUGCUGUUCUUGGAUUUUCCUGUAGAAGUUACCUCACUUUCCGUCGUCCUCUCGUUUACUGCGUUCACAAGGUUCGACACCGCAGCAAUGUUGCAACUGUUGAAUCGCCUCCUGAACCCGUGGGUGUUACGAAGGAAGAAGAACCUCAUUGGGCUACUUAUGAUGGAAGAGGUAAUGGUGCUUCUAAGGCACCUGAAUGGAAGAAGUUGAAUUCUAAAGACCUCGGGAUUAGGACGUCGAUGAUUGCAAAGCCCACAAGAUAUGUUUUAAAUGGACUUAAAAAAAAAGGAUAUGAAGUGUACCUUGUUGGAGGUUGUGUACGGGACCUUAUCCUGAAGAGAACUCCUAAAGACUUUGACAUCAUAACUUCAGCUGAACUUAAGGAGGUACUGAGAGUAUUUCCCCGAUGUGAAGUAGUUGGAAAGCGAUUUCCCAUAUGCCAUGUGCAUGUCAAUGAUACCAUUGUUGAGGUUUCAAGUUUUAGCACUUCUGGAAAGAGAACUGGUAGGAAACUUGAUUAUAUUCUCAGAAGACCUCCUGAUUGUGAUGAUCAUGAUUAUAUUCGCUGGAGGAAUUGUCUACAGCGGGACUUUACUAUUAAUGGGUUGAUGUUUGAUCCUUACACAAAGAUAGUGUAUGACUAUAUGGGCGGGAUGCAAGAUAUCAAAAAAGCUAAAGUACGGACUGUAAUCCCUGCUAAUAUUUCUUUUGUGGAGGAUUGCGCUCGCAUUUUGCGUGGGGUUAGAAUUGCAGCACGUUUAGGGUUUCGUUUCACUAAAGAUAUAGCUCAUUCUGUAAGAGAGUUAUCUUGCUCAGUGUUAAGACUCGAUAAGGGAAGGAUACUCAUGGAAAUGAAUUACAUGCUAGCUUAUGGGUCUGCAGAAGCUUCCUUGAGGUUAUUAUGGAAAUUUGGACUCCUGGAGAUACUUCUACCCAUCCAAGCAGCAUAUCUUGUUUCCCAAGGUUUUCGAAGACGUGAUCAGAGAUCAAACAUGCUUUUGUCUUUGUUUUCAAACCUGGAUAGACUUGUGGCACCUGAUCGGCCAUGCCAUAAUAGCUUAUGGAUUGGUAUGUUAGCAUUUCAUAAGGCCUUGGUUGACCAACCUCGGCACCCCAUGGUUGUUGCAGCAUUCAGCCUUGCUGUGCACAAUGGUGGAUCCUUGUCGGAAGCGGUGGAAAUUGCAAGGAGAAUCUCCCAACCUCAUGACCAGAGCUUCAGUGAAUUAUUAGAACCUCAGGAUCUAGACUCGGAUGAAUCCUUGAUAGACGAGAUCAUGGAUCUUGCAGCAUCGGUGAAAUCUGCAUUGAUGAAGAUGACAGAUGAACAUUUUGUUUCCCAAGCAAUGAGCAAAUACCCACGAGCACCAUACUCAGAUCUGAUCAUGUGUCUUGGCUUCAAUUCUAUGCUAUCGUGGCAGUGUAUUACAUUACAAAUUUCAAAUGUACUUGAGCCUUGGGAGUAGGUCCUGAGAUUUACUGCUUAUGAAUCCCACUUGUGCAAUCCUUCUAGGAUGAAAUUCUAAGGGUCUGUUUGGUAAUUGUUCUUCCAGAAAAAAGAAUUUGUUAUGAAGGCAAAUUGCCUUUUGGUACAAAUUUGAGAUGUUUUCAGAUCCUAAAUCUCCAGCUAGUCCUCAACAUCACCAUGAUAGUCAUCCCUGUUCUGAUGCUAGUUUUUAUCUCAUUGGCAUCAUUCCUGAGAGCAUCUAAGAUCUUUGAGUGCGUACAAGGGGGUGCUGAGAAGGGAUUCGUACCAAAACAAGG